rnacentral:misc_RNA from 1 species
UACGAAGGGGGCUAGCGUUGUUCGGAAUUACUGGGCGUAAAGGGCGCGUAGGCGGCCUGUUCAGUCAGAUGUGAAAGCCCCGGGCUCAACCUGGGAACCGCAUUUGAUACUGGCAGGCUUGAGUUCCGGAGAGGAUGGUGGAAUUCCCAGUGUAGAGGUGAAAUUCGUAGAUAUUGGGAAGAACACCGGUGGCGAAGGCGGCCCACUGGACGGAUACUGACGCUGAGGCGCGAAAGCGUGGGGAGCAAACAGG